rnacentral:misc_RNA from 1 species
UCUCCGUUGGUGAACCAGCGGAGGGAUCAUUACUGAGUACUACACUCUCUACCCUUUGUGAACUAUUAUACCUGUUGCUUCGGCGGCGCCCGCGAGGGUGCCCGCCGGUCUCAUCAGAAUCUCUGUUUUCGAACCCGACGAUACUUCUGAGUGUUCUUAGCGAACUGUCAAAACUUUUAACAACGGAUCUCUUGGCUCCAGCAUCGAUGAAGAACGCAGC